UCACGCUCGUCUGUUGUUUCGCAGUUAUGCACAGAACACGACGUCCCAGGAUUCAUCAAAUACAAGGUGUUUGACGCCAAACCCAGCUCAAAGACCAUCUCUGGCCUGCUGGAGUUCGACAGUAAGACUCACGCCGUGGAGGUUCUGACGGUCCUCAACCACUAUCAGAUCCGGAUCCCCAACGGUUCAAACCCGUACACACUGAAGCUGUGCUUCUCCACCUCCUCACACCUCUGAGCCGGAGCGACCGACACCAUCGUCUUCAUCUUCAUCAUCACCACCUCCCCUCAGACCCCACUCGCCCUCGGGUUUAGUGCUCUUUAGUUAUUCAUCUGUGAUCUGAUCAAACCAGGAAACACACACUCACACACUCACACACACACACACACACACACACACACACACACACACUCUCU